rnacentral:rRNA from 1 species
UAGGGAAUAUUGGUCAAUGGAUGGAAGUCUGAACCAGCCAUGCCGCGUGCAGGAAGAAGGCCUUCUGGGUUGUAAACUGCUUUUGCCAGGGGCUAAAAAGCUCAUGCGUGAGAAAUUGAAAGUACCUGGUGAAUAAGCCACGGCUAACUACGUGCCAGCAGCCGCGGUAAUACGUAGGUGGCAAGCGUUGUCCGGAUUUAUUGGGUUUAAAGGGUGCGUAGGCGGCUUUGUAAGUCAGUGGUGAAAUAUGGCAGCUCAACUGUCAGGGUGCCAUUGAUACUGCGGAGCUUGAGUACAGAUGAGGUAGGCGGAAUUGACGGUGUAGCGGUGAAAUGCUUAGAUAUCGUCAAGAACACCGAUAGCGAAGGCAGCUUACUGGGCUGUAACUGACGCUGAGGCACGAAAGUGUGGGGGAUCAAACAGGAUUAGAUACCCUGGUAGUCCACACUGUAAACGUUGA